UACGUAGGGGGCGAGCGUUGUCCGGAUUUAUUGGGCGUAAAGAGCUCGUAGGCGGCUUGGCAAGUCGGGUGUGAAACCUCCAGGCUCAACCUGGAGACGCCACUCCAUACUGCUAUGGCUAGAGUCCGGUAGGGGACCACGGAAUUCCUGGUGUAGCGGUGAAAUGCGCAGAUAUCAGGAGGAACACCGGUGGCGAAGGCGGCGACCUGGUCCAUUACUGACGCUGAGGCGCGACAGCGUGGGGAGCAAACAGG
rnacentral:rRNA from 1 species